rnacentral:tRNA from 1 species
GGGCAUAGCUCAGUGGUAGAGUGCAUGCUCAGCAUGCAUGAGGUCCUGGGUUCGGUCUCCAGUAUCUCCA